GACGAACGCUGGCGGCGUGCUUAACACAUGCAAGUCGAACGGAAAGGCCCUGCUUUUGUGGGGUGCUCGAGUGGCGAACGGGUGAGUAACACGUGAGUAACCUGCCCUUGACUUUGGGAUAACUUCAGGAAACUGGGGCUAAUACCGGAUAGGAGCUCCUGCUGCAUGGUGGGGGUUGGAAAGUUUCGGCGGUUGGGGAUGGACUCGCGGCUUAUCAGCUUGUUGGUGGGGUAGUGGCUUACCAAGGCUUUGACGGGUAGCCGGCCUGAGAGGGUGACCGGCCACAUUGGGACUGAGAUACGGCCCAGACUGCUACGGUAGGCAGCAGUGGGGAAUAUUGCACAAUGAGCGGAAGCCUGAUGCAGCAACGCCGCGUGCGGGAUGACGGCUUUCGGGUUGUAAACCGUUUUCGCCUGUGACGAAGCGUGAGUGACGGUAAUGGGUAAAGAAGCACCGGCUAACUACGUG
rnacentral:rRNA from 1 species